rnacentral:misc_RNA from 1 species
AAGUCGUAACAAGGUUUCCGUAGGUGAACCUGCGGAAGGAUCAUUAUCACGUAUCCACGUAGUAACUCCCGUGAACCUAAAAUCCUCUUGGGUGCAAGGUGGCACAGAUAUUUUCCCGUUGUUUCGUGAUUUAAGGAUAGUCUGUGUCUGGUGUAGAAACCAAACUUUGUGCUCUUGAGCGUACGUUUUAAACCACGAUAUUUUAACCUUAUUAACAACUUGUACCUUUCGAACUGAUUUGUUUCAUGUCUUUUCCGCAAGGAAAUGCCUGAAAUAUUGUACGAAACGCAAAACAACUCUUAGCAACGGAUAUCUUGGUUCCCAUAACGAUGAAGAACGCAGC